rnacentral:rRNA from 1 species
UACGGGGGGAGCAAGCGUUGUUCGGAUUUACUGGGCGUAAAGGGCGCGUAGGCGGCGCAACAAGUCACUUGUGAAAUCUCCGGGCUUAACCCGGAGCGGUCAAGUGAUACUGUCGUGCUAGAGUGCGGAAGGGGCAACUGGAAUUCUCGGUGUAGCGGUGAAAUGCGUAGAUAUCGAGAGGAACACCUGCGGCGAAGGCGGGUUGCUGGGCCGACACUGACGCUGAGGCGCGAAAGCUAGGGGAGCAAACGGG